rnacentral:misc_RNA from 1 species
AAGUCGUAACAAGGUUUCCGUAGGUGAACCUGCGGAAGGAUCAUUACAACGUAUCCACGUACCACACUCGCGAACUGUUCCCAAUAGAGUGAACUUGUGGAUGAAGUAAGGUCUUCAGCUUUUCGCUGAUGGAGUUCUCGGAUUUCAUCUGAGAACUGAAAGGCUGUCGAUCGCCAGCAGAAGUGUUCGCACGUCUCUGGGCUUCGUUCGCUCUAUUGCGGGUUUCCCAUCAGCAGUUUUACCCAAAUUAUUAACCCUUUGAACUCUGAACUGAACUUGAAAACUUAGCUGCCGUUCUAGCUGGCUUCGGUCACGAACGUAACGGCUUUGUUUUUCACAUUACGAAACAAAGAACAACUCUUAGCAACGGAUAUCUUGGUUCUC